GUAGUAGUGGUACGUUUCUAGUCUUAAUUUGCAUCACUCAUCUUUUUGUUAUCAAUGGCGAAUUUACUCCUACAAAACCAGUCAAGAUCAUCAUAGAUGGUGGUGAGGCUGAGGCCCCUCCAUCGCCACAGCUGGAGCAUUACGAUUGGGCCCCUCACCCUUCUUGCUUUCCCCUUCCCCCACCACCACCACCACCACCACCACCACCACCACCACCCCCACCANNNNNNNNNNNNNNNNNNNNNNNNNNNNNNNNNNNNNNNNNNNNNNNNNNNNNNNNNNNNNNNNNNNNNNNNNNNNNNNNNNNNNNNNNNNNNNNNNNNNNNNNNNNNNNNNNNNNNNNNNNNCACCAUGCCCACCACCACCACCAUCACCAAAACUGCCACCUCCACCACCUCCAAGCCCACCACCACCAAGCCCACCACCACCACCACCACCAUCACCGAAACCACCAAGUGGUUUCGAGAGCAAGCUACUCGAAAGAGACUAUAAAGUAAUCCAAGCCUUCAAAAGCAAAGUGACAAGCGAUCCCACAGGCAUUACAAAAACAUGGAAAGGCAAGGAUAUUUGCCGCAAUUACAAAGGAUUCAUUUGCGACACCGUACCCAACGUUAAACUAAAGGGCAUCGCCGGCGUCAACUUCAACAACAAGAAUUUGGCUGGCCCAAAUCUAACCCUCACCGAUUUCCUAACCGGUUUGAAAGAUCUCGCAUUUUUCCAUGCAAAUUCCAAUAACUUCACCGGCUCCAUCCCCGCCGAUAUCGGCAAACUCCGCUACUUAUACGAGCUCGACCUCAGUAACAACAAAUUCUCCGGCAGCUUCCCCUACCAAGUCCUCCGUGCCAACCAGUUACUAUUCCUCGACCUCAGGUUCAACACCUUUUCCGGCGUAGUACCUCCACAAGUCUUCCUUCUCGACCUCGACUUGCUCUUCAUCAACAACAACAAUUUCAAGCAAACACUCCCUGAAAACCUUGGCUCCACGCCGGCACUUUAUCUAACCCUGGCUAACAACAAAUUCGUCGGUGAAAUCCCUCGGAGUAUUGGUCGAGCUUCCAACACCCUACUCGAGAUUCUUUUCUUGAACAACCAGUUAACCGGUUGUUUGCCAUACGAGAUCGGAUUUCUGAAGAAAUCGAUGGUGUUCGACGUCGGAUUCAACAGUCUAACAGGCCCAAUCCCACACUCGUUUCAGUGCUUAAAGAAUAUGGAGCUUCUGAACUUGGCUCACAAUAAGUUCUACCGGGAUGUGCCGGAAUCGGUGUGCAGCCUGCCGAAUCUAUCGAAUUUCACUCUGUCGUAUAAUUAUUUCACUCAGGUAGGGCCACAGUGUCGGAAACUGAUAAGAAAUGGGGUUCUUGAUGUGAAGAUGAACUGCAUUUCGGAUCUCCCAAAUCAAAGAUCGAAGGCCGAGUGUGCUCAUUUCUUCUUGAAUCUUCCUUCUUGCCCUGAUGAAAAAUCUUUGACUUAUGUACCUUGCUCCAAAGAGUAUUCUGUUAAUCAAUCGGAGUCAUCAGCUGUUAAGUGGGCUACUCCGUCGCCGACACCGGCUCCUGUAGUGCGAAGUUAUGGUGCACUUUCGCCGCAUUAAUUAAUGUCGAUGUGCAUAAUUAGAUCAAAAGUGGCGAAAGUGAAGGGAUAUAAUUUGUUUCUUAUUUCAAUAUUUAAAAAUAACUAAUAUUGUUCAUCAAGUUUGGACGAUGUAACUAGUAUUUUUUUGGUACAUUUAUCAAUAUUUUUGCAAAUGUUUAGUAACAUAUGGGAUCAUAUCGUUCUUUCCCUAAUGUCAUCAUUGGUAUUUUGCUACCAUUCUGGAUUAAUUGUAUUUUGGGUUGUAUUGAUUUUGUGUUUUCGCCCAUAUUGUAUAAUCGGGCCUACAUGUAUUUUGUCUAUAUGUAAUUCCAAUUAUUGAGAAAUAUGUAGGUAUUUUUUAUUCUAGACCUUGAUCGUCUCGAUUAUAAUGCAUGGAGAGAGAUUUUUGAAACCAAAUGCAUAGGGUCGAGUGUUUUUUUAUCUCUAGAUGAAGCACACGAUAAACCUUAGACCAUUUUUGACAAAACCUAAUAGAAUCAAAUCGAUUCAAUCAUAAAGAUAUGGAUAUAUGGAACAAGUUUUGAGUCUCUUUUCCAGAUGAUUCUAAAGAAAAAUGUGACCGUUAGACAAGUAUGGAUUAGCCUAAAGACAUCGUUUUGAAAUGAUAAAGAUGUUAAACUUAUUCAAUUAACAAACUUCAAAACAUUACUAUUGGGGAUUUGACAAUUAUUGAUUAUUACACCUGCAUCUCAACUAUUUUUGAUCUUCUAUAUAAUAUCGAUGUCUCAUUAUGCUGAUAUUUUUGAUCUUCUAGACGAAGUAGACGAUAAACCUCAUACCACUUUUGACAAAUCCUAAUAGAAUCAAAUCGAUUCAAUCAUCAAGAUGUGGAUAUAUGGAACAAGUUUUUAGUCUCUUUUCCAGAUGAUUCAAAAGAAAAACGUGACUACUAGACAAAUAUGGAUUAGCCUAAAGACAUCCUUUUGAAACGAUAAAGAUGUCAAACUUAUUCAAUUAGACAACAAACUUCAAAACAUCACUAUUGGGGAUAUGACUAUUAUUGAUUAUUACACCUGCAUCCAAACUAUUUUUGAUCUUCUAUAUAAUACCGGUGUCUCAUUAUGCUGAUAUUUUCAUUAAAGGUUUGCCAACUACUCCGUCGUAGGGUGUAAUNAAAUGGUAUCAAAGCUAGAGCACAAUUUGAUGUGUUUAAUGAGGACAUCGAACCCUAUAGGCUAUUAGCAUAAAAACUUCCCAUGGAGUCAACUAUCUUGGAAUUGCUUUCGUACAGGCAUGCUUAACUGUAUAGUUCUUUAUGUAUUUGUUGCCCUCACGGACUUAAUCCCACACUGACUAGGAAUGAGAAAUAAACAUUCCUUAUCAGGGAUGUGGAUACCUUCCUUAUCACAAUGCGCUUUAAAGACUUGAUGAUAGCAGAUCCCAUAAGAACUCUAUAGCUAAGGUGCUCGGGCGAUAACAAUCCCAUGAUGGAUGACCUUGUGAAGUUUUCAUGUCGGGAGCCCAAAGCGGAAAAUAUUGUAAUACGUGUCAGAAGGGGCGUUACAAAUGGUAUCAAAGCUAGAGCACAAUUUGAUGUGUUUAAUGAGGACAUCGAACCCUAUUGGCUAUUAGCAUAAAAACUUCCCAUGGAGUCAACUAUCCUGGAAUUGCUUUCGUACAUGCAUGCUUAACUGUAUAAUUCUUUUGGUAUUUGUUGCCCUCACGGACUUAAUCCCACAUUGACUAGGAAUGAGAAAUAAACAUUCCUUAUCAGGGAUGUGGAUACCUUCCUUAUCACAAUGUGUUUUAAAGACUUGAUGACAGCAGAUCCCAUAAGAACUCUAUAGUUAAGGUGCUCGGGCGAUAACAAUCCCAUGAUGGAUGACCUUGUGAAGUUUUCAUGUCGGGAGCCCAAAGCGGAAAAUAUUGUAAUACAUGUCAGAAGGGGCGUUACAAAUGGUAUCAAAGCUAGAGCACGAUUUGAUGUGUUUGAUGAGGAGUUGAGGACAUCGAACCCUAUAAAAGGGGUGAAGGUGGGUAGCUAUCUGCAUAUGAUCUCACACCGGGUGGAAAUGAGAAGUAAAGAUUCCUUAUGAAGGGCGUGGAUACCUUCUUUGUCACAACGCAUUUUAAAGUUGUAGGGACAACAUAUCUCAUAAUAACUCUGCAGUUUAGCAUACAUUGGCGAUAACAAUGUCAUGUAUGAUGUGUGACCCAUUAGGAAGUUUUUUGUGCUGGGAGCCCAAAAUAGACAAUAUUGUGAUACGUGCUAGCGGGGACGUUACACAAGGGGUUAGCAUAUUAGAUUAAUUUAAUUUUGGAUAUUAUUUAUUUUAAAUAUUUGGCCCAUAGUAUAUAGUAUGACGACCUACUAUAUUUAUGCGUGUACUCUACUUAUAUAUUUCUAAAUAAUGAUAGAUGAAUAUUAUGGAAAAUUCAACUAUCAAUAAUUGUCAAGAAUAUAAAAAAUAAAGUUUAAUGUCAAAGUUGUAGCCUCUAGGUGUAUGUUUAACUUUAUAUGUGAUCAAUUUUAUCUCGUCCAAUGGAAGUCUAGUGGUUGAGAAAUGAAAUUUAACACAUAAUAUACACAAUUCAAACUCUGAGACACCCAAAAUAUUGCUAGUGUUCCGUGAUUACCCUCUCACUUCCACCUUCAGACAAGUUGACAUGGUUUGCUCAGAUGAUAUGAUUUACAAAUUUUUUUAAUGAUUGAUUUUAUACCUAAAAAUCAAAUUUGGGGUUUUUAGAAUAAAAAUGUUAUUUUGAUUUUUAACAUAGAAAUGAAGGAUUCUGUAUUAUGUUACUCGAGAUAUGAAAUCCAUAAGACAUUAAAUAUCAUAAUAUCUUUGGUAACACUUAUUUUAAAUUAAUUUAUAUACUAUUAGAUGGAAGGGAGUGAUGUUAUUUUUGCCAACAUGUUAUCUCAAAUUUUUGAUAGCUACAUUUUAUCACAUUAAUUUUGCUAGAUCAACGUAUCAUUUAGGUACGUGAAGUGGGUUAACAUGACAUCAAAAUAAAUAUUUCUUUUAAAUAAUUUUUGAAGACAUUUUUUAAAAUUAAAUGUUUCAUUACAUGAAAAUAAAUAUUUUCACAAUCUCUUUAUAUAUGUAUUUUCACGAAAUAACAACAGUGACCGCUGCUUGUAACAUGAAAUCGAAAGUACCGAAAGAAGAAGUAGAAGAUGAUGAUGAUGAUGAUGAUGCAGAAGAGGCGAUUUCUUUAAAUUGGGGAAGAAAAUUUUGAUGUGUUAUAAUUUGAUGAGAUGAAUUACUAUUUAUAAUAGUUUGAUAUUACAAAAUAAUAAGGCCGGACAUAAUGAUUGCGGUGAGGGGAGACUCUCCCGCGUUCUCUCUCCGACUGUGAUUGGCUGCAAAUUUUUAUUUUUGAAAUUAAAUCGUUGAUUANUUUAUGCAUCGGAGAAUAAUAUAUCUUAUCCGGUUAAAGACAGAUUUUGAAUAGGUCUUCUAAGCUUAUCUUCAAAUUGAAUGGGUUAAAUAUGAAAAAGUCAAAUAAGAUGAUGAUGAUUAGAUUUUGAAUGGGUCAAAGUUUGACCAAGUGUUCCCCAUAUCCAAUUGAAUCGGUAAAUACUAAAUCUUAUCCGGUCAACAUAUAUGAAAAAGUCAAAUAAGAUGAUAAUGAUAGAUUUUGAAUGGGUCAAAGUUUAACCAAGUGUUCCUCAUAUCCAAUUGAAUCGGUAAAUACUAAAUCUUAUCUGGUCAACAUUUAUGAAAAAGUCAAAUAAGAUGAUGAUGUUAAGAUUUUGAAUGGGUCAAACUUUGACCAAGUGUUCCUCAUAUCCAAUUGAAUCGCUAAAUACUGAAUCUGUCAAUAAUAAUGAAAAAGUCAAAUAUGAUGAUGAUAAGAUUUUAAAUGGGUCAAAGUUUGACCAAGUGUUCUUCAUAUCCAUUUGAAUCGGUCUAAUACAAUGUGCACGUUAUAAAACAUUUCAUAUAAACUGGAAGAGGCGCAUUGAUCUAGCAUUCGUCUAUCAUGAAUGUCUUGCCAUUGACCGCAAAACCUUGGUUCUCUCUCAUGCUCGCUACCUCCUCCUUUGUUUUUCUUUCUAUUAAAAUCGAAUAAGCCCAAAAAUGUCUUACGUUUAAUCCUAGCCCAGAUAUAAGAAAUCUCUAUCUAUUCGUAUUUUGUUUAACAAAUUUUUUAUGUCAUUUUGUUGAUCCGCACCCGUCGCUUUGCGCGGGUAAACGGCUAGUGUGUAUAUAUAUAUAUAUAUGUAUGUAUAUAUAGUCUUAAGUUAUUCUAUUCAAAGUAAUUAUUGUGUUAUUAUAUGCAUAAAUGUAGGCCAAUCAAAUUUACUUAUUUUAAGAAAGUGAUUAAUAUAUAUCAUUGAAUUAAAUAUAAUUGAAAAAUAUCAACUUAAUUAAUUACAAGGGUAAUUUAGUCAAUUAAUAUAGAUUUAAUAAAGGAAAAUUGCAUUUUUUAAGGGAUCAUAAAUUCUAUUAAUUUUAAAAAUCCGAUUUUACGAAUUAUAAUUCUUUUAAUUCGGACAUUCUGAUAGAAUAUGAUUAUGAGUAUAUUCAAAAAUAAAAAUAUUCUUGAACCAUAGAUAAUAAAAAUAUUCUUGAACCUAUUUUUUGAUCAUGACUUUAAAAACUUCUUGUUGAAUAACAAAUUCUUAAACAAUCAAUUGAACAAUAAAAACAAAAAAUACAUUAUUUAUUAUAGAAUACGAGUAACAAUUGUUAAUAAUUACAUUUAUUGUUAAAGAAUAAAAAACUAUAAAAACUUUCAAAAUGGGAAAGUAAACAUCAAAAUCUAACAACGACACUAGUACAUUCUAAUAGAAUAAUGUUGCUUAUAAUCACUUUCAAUUUUGUGGUCCGUUCUUCAAGCAUCAACUUCUAUGAUUCCAACAGAAUUGGAAUCUGUGAUUCCAUUCCAACAGAAUUGGAAUUCGUGAUUUCUAUUCCAAUAGAAUUGAUGGGCUAUACGACUUGAGUUAGUUGUUCGACUUGGUCCACAUCAUAUAUUUAGGAGAUUAUCGGCAUGAAAGCUCCAUGAAAACCAUAAGGCACUCAAUAUGGCAAGGUAAUAAUUUCAAUUGCCUCACUAGUAAACUUCUAUGCAUCUAUUAGGAUAACCUAUGAAAUUAAGCCAAUUUGUGUCCCAUUAAUAUCCAAGAACCAUUAGUCCAAUCUGCUUCAGAAGAAUAUCUAUACAUGUAAUAAGAGAUUGAUAUAAACUUACCCGAGAUAUAUUCAAAUGUUCAUCAUGUACAAACGAGAUCACCCGACCAUCAUCUUAUUCAAGACCAUCUGACUUCGGCACAAACACAACACUUGCACAUAAUGUGUUUUCUGGGAACCUAUUGAACAUAAGCUACUGAAUCAAACAAUUCUACAUGAAAGGUUUUGUUAAUACCAAAUUUAUCGAAGGUCAAUUUCAGGCAAAUUUAGGUUUAGGGACGAUCAUGAGGAAAAUUUGAUCGACACCAUGAAGAUGAUAAAGAUAUGAAACAAUCUCAGGAAAACCCUAGCUUGAACAAAUAAAAAGGAAAUCAUGAUUGAGAAAGCGUGUAUGAAUACAUUUGAGCAACGAGAGAGAGUGCGCGAUCGGAGUAUGGGUGAACCAAAACCUUUGUAUCGACUUCAAACUUUGCAUUCUUCGUUUUCAUGAAACUUUCCAAGCCUAACUUUGUAUUACACUGGCCAUCAUCAAGAAUGGGGAUAAGAGGGACAUGCGAUUGAAUCAAAUUAGGCAUUCUUUUAAACCUCAAUCUCCUCCAUAGUAUUGAAUUCGCAGUUGGUAGUGUGAUAAUCGGAGUGAAUGAAAUCGGGUUUGGAAUUUAACUGGAUUAAUCUAAGGAUAUUCGCCAUUGAAUGGUCAAACAGAAAAGUCAAAAUUGAGAUAUUACAAACUUCUUACCUGCGAACGAUCUAAGAUUCGGAGUUGAAAAUUUGGGCUUGCACUCAUAUCCUCAAUAAAUGUCAAAUACGAACCUAUGCUCGGAACCGAUUGUUCAUUGUUGAUAUGUUCGGAGAUUGAAAUUAUUUGAUUCAGCAUAAACCGACUCAUAAUCGAAACUGCGAAUGGAUUUAAAAUCGGAGUCCCUGUCGGCUUAGAGGGUGAGAGUUACAACCGAUUGUUCGCUGUUGGUAUGUUAGGAGAUUAAAAUUGUGAUAGGGUUUUUGCAGAUAGAGGGGGCGUCAGAGGUGGGUGACAUUGGUGGAUGAAGGCGACGAGUGGUGGAGGACCGUCGGUGAUGACGGUAAUUAUGGUUGUGUUGUGCCCUUCAACAUCGGAAGUAAUGGUGCUGGGAUCGAAUAUGUGGUGGUUUUAAAAAAGCCGAUGGAAAAAUAGGUAGCUGAAGUCAAUUGUUACCAUAAUUAUAGGAUAUUAUUUGUGGAAACUAAUUAUCAAAUUACAUAUUUACCCUUAUUUAUUUAUUUAAUUAUUUAUUUUUAUUUUAAAUUUUGAUUGGCUCACAUUUAUGCAUACAAUAACACAAUAAUUAUUUUAAACAUAUGAACCUAGCUCUCUCUCUCUCUCUCUCUCUCUCUCUCUCUCUUUCUCUCUCUCNUUAGGUUCAAAUGUUUUCACUAUCUAUUGUGUGCAUGUAUGAUUGAUUCUGGACCAAUCAUUUUAGUUAUUUUAAGAAAGUAAUUAAUGCAUAUUAAAUGCUGAAGAUGUAAUUAAUAUCCAUUAUAUAUUCAACAUGUAAUAUGCAUUAAUUACUUUCUUAAAAUAACUAAAAUUAGGGCUGUAAACGAACCAAACGAACACGAACGGGGCUUGUUCAUAUUCGUUCGUUUAAGUUAGUCGAACAAAUGAACGAACACGAACGGAUAAACAAACGAGUUUUCUUGUUCAUGUUCGUUCGUUUAACAAAUUGCAUUGUUCAUGUUCGUUCGUUUAUGUUCGUGAACAUGCUAAACGAACAUAAACGAAUGAACAUAAAUGAACAAAGAUAAACAAACAUAAUUCGAGCAUAUAUAAACAUUAAUGAACAUAUAAUAUAGUAAUAUAAUCAGAUACAAUAAACAUAUAUGAACAUAAAAGGAACUUAUAUGAACAAACAAAAACAAACGUAAACAAACAACAUAAACGAACGUUCACGAACAUAAUUGAACAAACGAGACCAUUGUUCAUGUUCGUUCAUUAAUUAAAUAAACGAACAUAAACGAAUUUCCCGCCGAACGGUUCACGAAUAGUUCGUUGAACGUUCGGUUCAUUUACAGCCCUAACUAAAAUGAUUGGUCCAAAAUUAAUCAUACAUGCACACAAUAGAUAGUGAAAACAAAAUAACCUAACCCUAUAUAUAUANGUGAUUUUUUUUAAUGAAAUCCAACCGUUGAUUAACGGUAGAAAAAUAAAUAUAUUUUUUUUGCUGCAACGGCUAAAUGGUUUUAAAUCCAUUUUUUUUUGUUUCUUUAACCUUUUUAAACACCUAUAAAUACACAACUAUUUACCAUCAAACAACAUUCACACAAACCCUCUAUUCUCUCUAUUUUAUUCUCAAAAGAAAAAAAAAUGAAUCCCGACAAUCAAACCCCAACUUCCGAUCAUAGGAAAAAAAAGCCAUGGUUUGAGUUUAAACAUCCCUUCUCGAAACAUUCUUGCUAUCGAUUCAUCACUACAAGGAGUUUAUCGCCCCCAACUCGAUGCUCCCAUUCAAUCCCCACUACAAUUCCAAUACCAAAUUGUUGGACAAUAUUACCCGAUGCAAGUUCCAAAUGUUUCGCCGCAAAUGUGUUUUUAACUUUGUUGUGUUUCCGGAUCAACAAUCGCCAAAUCAACCUCAACCUCAAACCCAAUUUCAAAAUCAAAUCCAAACCCAACAACAACGCCAACUUGUCGAUGAGUUGAAUGACUCAGAAGAAGAAGACAUGGUUCCCGAAACUCAACCAACACCACCCCCACAAAGACGUAAAGGGAAAAAACAAGCACGUGAGGGUGUCGCACAACCGGGAAGACAAAAGCCGACAAUAUGGCUUCUACACGAAGAGCUAGUUUUGGUCAAAGCUUGGGCUGACAUUUCUGAAGAUUCGAUUCAAAGAAACGCACAACCGGGAGAACAUUUUUGGUUCUACAUUUUAGAACGGUUUCGAGAGGAGCUAGAAAAAGGCGACGACUACCAUACGAAACAUCAAUUGAAUUUGAAGUUUCGAGAAAUAGCAAAUGGGGUUUCAAAAAUAAACGGGUUGUACGACAACCUAAAACCCAACGAAAAAGCGUCCAAGGCGACGAAGAAAUACUUCAAGACGCUUUACAGUUUUACCUUGAGGAAGUCGGAAAACCAUUCAAUUGGCAUGAUUGUUGGAAAUUAUUGGUCUAAUGUCCUAGGUGGAUAAAAUACGAGCAAAAUUUUAUUUUUGGAGUCCAACAAUCAAAGCGAACGAAAAUGGGCUCUAGUGGUUACACAACCUCCUCCGAUGCUCGAGUCGGUCUAGAUUUAAAUCAAGACGACGAACUCGAGCUAGAAGAAAUUGUCCGCCCAAUGGGUAGGGACAAAGCGAAGAGAAAGGGAAAAGGGACUUCUUCGGGUGCAUCUGAUUUCAGCGUGAACAUUGACGAAAUGCGGAAAUUAACAUCGUCGUUUGAUCGAUAUAAUCUUAAUUUCUCCGAACGUUUGACUUUCGACAAAGAAAAAGAAGAAACAAGGAAAAAGGAGCGGGCGGCAAGACAAGAAAUAAAGGAUAUGAAGUUUUUGAUGGAAAACAUCGAUAUCUCUCGGGACCGACUCUUGAGCUCGUGAUGAAGAAGAGGGAAAAAAUUCUGAAAAAAUAUUUUCCGUAGGUCGUUGUUGGUUUGUUUGAUUUUUAAUUUGUGUGUGUGUGUGUGUGUUUUUUUUUUAUUUUUUUUUAUUUUUUUUUUAGUUUUAGGUUUAAUGUAAGUUUUAUUUUAAUUAAUGAAAUGUUUUUUUUUAUUUUUAAUUAAAUUUUAUGUUUAGUAUCAAUUUAAAAAUUAUAAAUCAUAAAAAAAAAGUUUGUUUAAAAAAAAGUGAGGGAAGGGUUUCCCAACCAUUCCUUGGGUUUUAGGCGAAGGAAAGAAAAAUAGGGGAAAAGGUGGUAUGACCCACAAAAAGUUAGGGAAACUUCCUUCCCAUACCCUCCGGUCUAAUAAUAAGACCAGAGGGUGUGGGAGGGAUGUUUCCUAACUUUUUGUGGGCCACACCAUUCUUUCCCUCAUUUUUCUUUUUCUUACCUAAAACCCAAGGAAUGAGUGAGAAAUUUCCCUCACUAUUUUUUUUAUAUUUUUAAAAAAAUAUAUUUCAUACAUAUAUUAUACUCAUUUUGUAGGGAAUUAGAAACCAUGAAUUUUAAUAUAUUUUUUAUAUUUUUUGAUAGAUAUAUAACUUUAUAAAUAUUAAAAAGAAUAAAAAGAAAAAAAAGACUUGUCCAAUAGCAUUAAGAGAGAGAGAGAGAGUGCAACACUCCCUCCCCCACCUCUUUCCCGCCGGAUGUUUCCCUUACCCAAGGAGUGGCAUUCAAGAGUGAAAAGUUCUCUCUCCACUUUGGUGGGGUUGCCUUUGCCAAACAUGACAUCAUUCCUCGAAUCAUUCCUCGAAUCUUAUGAUUAUAAUAAUUAAAAUAAUAUUUGCUUAAGCAUUAGAAUGGAAUGUUUCUAGAUUUAAUGAUAUACUCUUACCGUUAAUCAAAUCUAAAAUCAUCAAAUUAGAGAAAAUCAAUUUUAAAAGAGUUUUAACAAUACAUAAAUAAAAAAUUGCCAAUUUCAUAAUAUAGUUUCUUUUCGUUUUGGUCCGUUUGGAAGAUGAGUUUAUUUAGAAGUGAGUUGCCAAAAUGAAUAGAAGCACUGUAGACCUAAGUAAUAUAUUUGGAUGCUGACGAUACUUGUCCAAUCAUUGUCCUCUACUCCUCUUCCUUUCGUUUUAUAAAUUUGGCAAAAACUAUAAAUGAAUACUUAUCACUUAUCACUUGAGAUCGUCAUAGAAGAAUUUAAUUUUUAGCUUGAUUAUGGCAUAUAAGUAUUUUUAGCUAAAAAUGAUUUUAUGUAUUUUCAAAAGGUUAUAUUAAAGUAGAGUAAAUUAUUCGAUUUGUCUCUUGUCUGAGUGCCAAAUUGCUCGUUUAGUCCCCAUUUUUAAAAAUUAACCCGGACCGUCCCUGUGAUGUUAUUUUUUCACGCGGACCGUCCCUGACGGACAUAAAAUAACUAUUUUACCCUUAUCAUUUAUUUUUUAUUUUACUUAUCGUUUUUUUUUUCAAUUUAUUCAAUUAAAAAUAAAUAAAUGGUCCAUCCCCUAUACCCCACCCCCACUCAAACCUACCCACCCCUUNNNNNNNNNNNNNNNNNAGGAUGUAGGCCUACACUCGCCAGCCAUCAUUUCUGACCACCUACUGUCGAGCACCAUCUCCGACCACCUGCGGCUGACCUUGAAACGACCUCCAUUGAUACCCUUAGCUAUCAAAAAUAUGUAAAUCCAAAAAAUCCAUCAAUCCCAACAAAACCAUAUACCUCUCACACUCUCGUUUCCUUAUUUCACCAUAUACAUUUUUCCGACAACACCACCACCAACCAACAAACAUAGUUCCAGCCACCAACACCAUCCGAACACCAACCACCUGAAGACAGUGGUCGAAUGGUGUUGGUGUAGAUCUGAGAUUCGUUUUUUUUUUUUUUUUUUUUUUUUUUUUUUUCCGGAGUACAGAUCUACAUCGAGGGUGGUGCACAAGUAGGAAGCUUGGAGUAAGAGAGAGAUUGUGAUAAUGGUGUGACGAGGACGAUGUGCAAGUGGCAACGGAGGUGACGACACCUCUCUCUNCUCUCUCUCUCUCUCUCUCUCUCUCUCUCUCUCUCUCUCUCUCUGUGUGUGUGUGUGUUUAGCUCUGGCAGUCGGAAAAGAGAAGGAACAGGAACACUGGUGAUCUAGGUUAGCGGGUCUGGUGUUGGAUCCCGAUGGGGAGAAAGAUAACGACGGUAGAGGAGGUUUCUGAUAGAAGUGGUAGCAGUUGGCUGAUGCAGUGGUUUCCGGCAGAAAGGGUGUCACCGGUGAUCUCGUCGGAGAUGGAGAAGAAGAUGUUGUGAGUGAGAGAGUGUACCUGAAAGACUUAGGGACCAUUUCAUUUUUUAGAAUACUUGUAAUUAAUAAAAAAUUAAUAGAUAAAUUAUAAACAAAUUAAAAAUAAAGGAAAAAAGAAAUAGAAAAAUGUAUUAUAGUCAUUUUAUGUCUGGUAGGGACAAAACGUACAACUUUUAACAAUAUAAAAGACGGUCCGAGUUAAUUUUUGAAAGUAAAGACUAAACGCGUAAUUUAACACUCGGACUAAGGACAAAUCGUGUAAUUUACUCAUUAAAGUAUUAUGAAAUCAAACAACCAACUUUUUUAAAAAAAAAAAAAAAUUAAUUUGUUAGGGAUUUGUUGAUUAACUAAACAUACUUUUUAGAGUUUUGGAGAAUAUAAAUUAUAACGAUCAAGAACUUAAAAAGUUUUAUCGAUUUUUAUUUUAUAUUUAACUUUUCUUGUAGUUUAUUUUAUUUGAUAAUAAUUGUAUCUAUUUAUAUGGAUAUUUAUUUUAAUUUGCCAACAAGCAAAUUAAGAACCCCAUAUGGGAAGAAAACAAUGUGAAACCCCCACUGGUAGGUAUACUUAUGAAAGUGGAGCAUGAGAAAGGGACUUAAAGAAAGCAAUGAUGGUGCAAAACCAAUAAACAUGAAUAUUACAAUUGAAAUUACUAUACAAUAAAAUACUAUAUGAGAAUGGAAAAUAAAUUGUAAAAUUUGAUUAACUAGCAACAUUAUUAUAAGUACUUCGCAUAAUUUUUAAAAACCAAAGAAGGUGGAAACCACUGUUGACAUGGUAUAAUUUUUAAAAACUCCUCCUACCGUGACAUAAAUGGUGAAAUGCAUUCAAAAUCAAACCGAUAUCUUCCUGAUCAUUCAUGUCUGACGCUUUCUUUUCUUCAGUUGGAAGCAUUAAUAUGCACAGGGAAGUAGGUUUCAUAUGGCAAGGGAAUACGGGUUGACGUUGUAUGGAGGCAAGAAUGUGACCUUCAUGGACUCUCAACAACCCAAGGUAAGGUAGUAAAAAUAUGGAAAAAUAACACAUAUGCCCUAUGAAUUUUCUAUGAUUGACCAUUUUAGUCACUUAACUUUUUAAGUGGCUUUAUGAGAAAACAAAUUAUAUUUUGUCGGGUCGAUCACAUCAUUGUUUUAUUUAUGAUGGGGUCAACCAGUCAUAUUUAGGUCACAUGUUUUACUUAAACCACAUAGCGUGGUGAUUGUGUAGUUUGUCCAUUGUCAUGUCAUUAAAUAAUGUCACAUAAUAAUUUGUUACCUCACUGUUCAUUACAUAGCUUUACGGAUUUUAAACGAGACCUUUUGUCGUCGACUGUUCACCACUUCAAUAUCUUUCGAUAACCCUUACUUGUUUUCGUCUCCUCAAGCCUCAAACAUGGAUCUCGUAUUCAUCCAAGUCGAUGUGCACUUCCAAGAACUCUUUGCUAAAUACCGCAUAUGCUACACCGGCGGGAUUACUCAGUUGUGGCCAGACAUUGAUUUGGUAGGUAUGGACAAGAACGAGUGUUAUGAGUUUACCGAAAGGUUCAUUGGAGAAAAGUGUGAGAAACUCUAUUACUGCCAACCAGAUAUUGAUUUUCCAAAGGUUUUACCUUAAUUUCCAAUCAGAUGGAUUAUGUCGAUUUUAUAGCAAUUGUUGAUGAAUGCGGUGUGAUACUCCCUAUGUAUGUAGACCAUUUUGGUAAUAGUAACAUGCAAGAAUGGUUGGAUGAACACAAAGAAGUGGUUAUUGAUAACAUAGAGGAAGAAGUUAUUGAUUUUGCAAGAUUAAUUAAGGAAGUUGAGACAUAACUUGUGGAUAAGGAUAAGGAUGAAAAUGAGGAUGAGGAUGACCAUGGGGCUGAGGAUGAGGAUGCUGAUGACCUUGAUAACCCUCAUCUUUUCAAAAAGGAUAAUAGGCAUAAUGUCAAUGUGGGUGAGAAUGCAGGUGUGGGUGAGCCUUUCGAAGAAGACAUGGAUGAUAAUGAAGAUGUUUAUCCUGAGUUGCCAAAUAUUUUCAAUGAAAAGCUACAUCGGAAGGAGCAGGAACAUGUGUUAGGUAUGAGGUUUGAGAGUCCUAAACAAUUGAAACACAUGCUCUGUAACUAUGUUGUUGCAAUGGUUAUCAAUUAUGUUUUGUGAAAAAUGAUAGUAGACGGUUGCUAGCCAAAUGUUGUGAUGGAAAAUAUACAUUUAGGGUUUGGUGUUCAUGAAUGAGUGAUGAUAAGUCUUUCCAGAUCAAGUCUCUUAUUAGUGCCGAUAAUUGUGCAAAUAAUUUCAAAUUCGUAUCAAUUGUCACUUAUGACUGGAUAGGUACACACUUUAUGCAACAAAUUUUUAACAAUCAAAAGAUGAGUGUCAGAUUACUUAGAGAUGAGGUGAAAACUACCUUUGGCAUUGUUGUGAGCAUGAGUCAGUGUAGGAGAGCCAACAAGUAUGCAUUAAGUCUAGCUGGAGGCACAGUUGUAGAAAAUUAUGCUAGAAUAUGGUCAUAUGGUGAGGAGAUUAAAAGAACAAAUCCUUGAUCCACUGUUAAAAUUUUUAUAGAUGCAAUGCCUGAUGGUAAGAAUUACUUUAACAAGAUUUACAUAUGCUUUGUUGUAGUCAAGGAGGGAUGAAGGAGAGGGUGUAGAUGGAUCAUGAUUUUGGACGGCUGUUUCCUGAAAAGUUUUUGCCAAUGUGAGUUGCUUUGUAUUGUUGGUGGCGAUGGUAACAAUGGAAUAUUUCCAAUUGCUUGGGCAUUUGUAUGCUUGGAAAAACAGGAGAAUUUGAAAUGGUUUAUUGAAAAUCUUUCAGAAGAUUUGCAGUGUUGGAAUGAAGGAAGUGGUUUGGUUUUAAUUUCUGAUCAACACAACGUAAGUUUCAUAAAAACUAAACAUAAUAUAAUACAUUUCUAAUAUCAUUCCUUCCUGUUACAUAUGAAGGGUUUGGUCGAGGUAGUAAAAGAAGUAUUCCCAAUAGCAGAACAUAGGCAGUGUGCCAGGCAUAUAUAUUUAUAUAUAUAUANUGGUUUGGUUUUAAUUUCUGAUCAACACAAGGUAUUUUGUAAAAUAUUAAAAUAGUAUAAUAAAUAUUUACAUUUCUAACUUCGCCUAUUCCUAGUACAUAUGUAGGGUUUGGUUGAGGCAGUCAAAGAAGUAUUCCCAACAACAUAACAUAGGCAGUGUGCUAGGCAUAUAUAUGCCAAUUUUAGAAAGAAGUUUAGUGGAGCCAAGUUUGAAAUUUGUUUUAGAGAGCAAGCAAGGCAACAAACGAAACACAUUUUAACAUAGUCAUGAAAGAGAUUGAAAAGUUGAAUCCUGAAGUUGUUAUGCAUCUUAUGGAUAGAGAUCCAAAGACUUGGUAUUUAGCUUUUUUCAGAGUUCACAAUUCAUCUUGUGAGUCUGUGGAGAAUGGAUUUUCAGAGAGCUUUAAUAGUGUUAUUUUGGAGGCUAGGAAGAAACCUAUUAACAACACGUUAGAGGACUGUCGUGUGUAUGUGUGUGUGUGUGUGUGUGUAUAUAUAUAUAUAUAUAUAGAGAGAGAGAGAGAGGUUGGCUCAAAUUUUUUUCACAUCUAUUGUGUGCUAGAAUGCACUAAUAAGAAUUNNNNNNNNNNNNNNNNNNNNNNNNNNNNNNNNNNUAUAUAUAUAUAUAUAUAUAUAUAUAUAUAUAUAUAUAUAUAUGUGUGUGUGUGUGUGUGUGUGUGAUGCAAAGGAUGGUAAGUAUGAAACUAACAGGUCACAGAUGGAAUCGUUACCUUGUUUGUCUAAAUAUCAGAACAAGAUUGAAUAUUCUCCAAACUGACCAAUGAUUUGUACACUUUUAACGUCUCAAAAAUAAGUGUAAAAUUUUUCAUUUUAAAGAAACACAAUCCACAAUCCCAAAAGUUACCAAAACAUUGUUUACAAAUCAUAAUAAGACAAAACAUCGGAUCAAAGUAUCAAUCAACAUAAACUGCGGGAUGAUGUGUACAAUCAUGCCUUCGCCUUUGCCCGAUCACCACAAGUACCUGAAUCAUUGAAAUUUAAACUGUAAGCCAAAGCUUAGUGAGCUUCCCAAAAUACCCCAAUAUAUAAAAAAUUACCGAUAUAACACAAGCAUGGAUAUAGGGUUUGUUGGUUCUUGAUCUAGACCCAACCAUACCAGGUUUGUUGGUUUACAGUACAAAGUAGUAACACCUCAACCCAACCACCCAGGGUUUAUUGGCACGUUGCCUCAACCCAACCAUCCAAGUUUGUUGGCACGUGACCUCAACCUCACUAUACAGGGUUUGUUGGCAUGUGGGAUCAACCUCACCAUACUGGGUUUGUUGGAACGCGACCUCAACUUCACCAUACCGGGUAUGUUGACUUCCGGUCUCAACCCAACCAUAUUAGAUUUGUUGGUGCGCGGCGUCAACCCAACCACCCACAUGUCGACAUAUAUACAACAAAUCACACAUAUAACUAUUAUAGCAAUCCUACACCCUAGGAUACAUAAACAAAAUAAAUGGGCCGACCUUGGUGCCUUAGACCCGUUGGCAUAAUGAAAGAACUCACCUCUUGAUCUGAAGACAAUCUAGAAUAUGUAUCGACUCUGAACACCAACGUUACACGUCACCUAUUAUGAAAAUCAUAGCCCAACCUUAAUUAAUACUAGAUUAUCCAAAUUACCCUUAGGUCAACAUUGGUGAAACUCAAUAAAUCAGCAGAGUCAACCCAACCGAGUCGACCCAGCCACGUAUGCAGGGCGUACUUGAACAUACGCGGGGCCUAUUCGAAUACGACCAAACAAACGGGGUCCUAACAACGCAUGCGUGGCGUAUCAUUUGGUACGCCCUGUCACACCCCAAAACCAAGAACGGCGGAAACGUUCCGGGGCGGAGGACGUCAUGUACAGUAUCACAACACAGUAAAUGUAAAUAAGCAAACAACAUCAUCCAUUGCAUUAAAUAUAUAUAAUUUUAAUACAAGUGUGUUCUGUACAACUAUAGACACCAAAAAUAAUGAAACACAAAAUAAUAUGAGAUAAGUCUUGAAUGCACUCCAUCUUCUCAAAAGCUGGCCUCGGUACCUGUCUACUGAUGACCUGAGAAUACAAGUUAUUUUGAAAGAGUUUAUCAGCAUUAAGCUGGUGAGUUCAUAAGUAUUUUAGUGUCAAUGUUUCUUGUAAAAACGUUUGAACCUGUCUCAAUGUAUAAGUUGUAAAAAUGUAAGUAAAUGUUUGAAAGUGUUUGUAAAAGUUUGAAUCCCUCAGAAAAUCCUAUAUUUUCUAUACAAGUAACCUUCUACCAAGGCUAGGCUGUUUCGUAAACUUUUCUGUUGUAAAAGUGUGUGAUUACCCAAAUAUAACUAUCAUUUGUUAAAAAUAUAGUUUGUACAUUAAUGCUUAAGUGAGGUUAUCACUAAAAUAUGUAAUGGGUGAAUCAUUGUAGUACUGUAGCUUUGUAUAUUAAGACUACUGCUGUACUAAAUACUGCUACCUUAAACCGGAUUUAUAUUAAGGUAUAUUGUGAUUAAUUGCACCAUGCUAUCGACUGAUAAUCAACGACAUAAUGAACGGUCGUAAAAAGAAAUGACGUUUGGCACCCGCAGACCUGCAGGUCCGGCUGUAGCUAGCAGCAAGGUGUAGGAUAGUCAAUCCAGUAUAGAUCUAUACGCAAACUCACGCUCUCCCUCCAAGAGAAUUCUGGCUACAACUCGGGCCAUGACAUUUAAGGCAUGCCCGAUACAGUGGAUCACAAUUAUUACGUAUUUAUGUAUAUGUAUUGUUUCUCGUAUAUCUGUAUAUGUAUUGUUUCUCGUAUAUCUGUAUAUGUAUUGUUUCUAGUAUAUCUGUAUAUGUAUUGUUUCUAGUAUAUCUGUAUAUGUAUUGUUUCUAGUAUAUCUGUAUAUGUAUUGUUUCUAGUAUAUCUGUAUAUGUAUUGUUUCUAGUAUAUCUGUAUAUGUAUUGUUUCUAGUAUAUCUGUAUAUGUAUUGUUUCUAGUAUAUCUGUAUAUGUAUUGUUUCUAGUAUAUCUGUAUAUGUAUUGUUUCUAGUAUAUCUGUAUAUGUAUUGUUUCUAGUAUAUCUGUAUAUGUAUUGUUUCUAGUAUAUCUGUAUAUGUAUUGUUUCUAGUAUAUCUGUAUAUGUAUUGUUUCUAGUAUAUCUGUAUAUGUAUUGUUUCUAGUAUAUCUGUAUAUGUAUUGUUUCUAGUAUAUCUGUAUAUGUAUGAUCCUGCGUUACCCCGAUGGUAACCAGCUAAUGAUGUACUGAUGAGUAUGAAUAUGGAAGUACUUUUAUGUCUAUAUAUGUAUAUAUGAUAUAUAAGUAAUAUUGAAACGACCUUCGGAUGGUCACCCGAAAUCCCACCAGACCACAUCUCAAGGCGCGAAAAGGAAAUAGGGCGGAUGGCCUUCCUAAGUCCUUUAAACAUUAUUUAUACAUCUAUACAUAUAUGGGCAUGCAAUUGAAUAUAUAAAAGCAUAAAUAAGUUUUCAUAAAACAUUUGAAGCAUAAAUAUGAUUUCAAGAGGAGAUCGACUUGAUGUCGAUCUAUAAAACAAUUUGAAGGCAUAAGUUAAUAAAACAGUUUAAGUAUAAGAAGCAUUUGUUUAAAUCACAGUCUAUAAGUAAGUUUGGAUAGUAAAACAGUUUGUAAAACAUUUCAAAGUAAAGCAUUUUGAAAAACAGUUUGAACAGUGGUAAAAAUCGUUGUUUUCCUAGUUAUUAAUCACAUGUGAUUAAAUGCAAUCACAUGUGAUUGAAGCAAUAACUUAUAAGUAUUUGACUUGUAUUCCCCCCCCCAUAAAGUAUUUAAAACACUUAAAAUCAUUUCAAAGGUUGAUUCAAGGGGUAUGAACUCACUUGUGGUGAGUCGUUUGAAUUGCAGUGUCGGCUACCGUGCUAGGUGACAAACGGAGACUGGUUUACACGCACGAGCCUAGUUAUCAUAUAAUAAACAUAUAUAUAACUAAUUAGACAUAUAAUAACUUAAAUAAAUAAGUUAAGACACUUAGAAAACAUUUAAACACUUUUAUGAGUGUUUAGGGUUCAAAUGGUUGCAUCUAAGUUGCUACGGGACAAGGCAAAAGGGUUUGAAACAUCAAAGGGCCUUGUAUAGGAGUUCACCAUCCAACAAACCCCACACCUUGGAGUUUACGGCCGUAAACUCAUAGGUUUAUGGCCGUGAACUCCUCAAAUGGUGUUUUUGGGUGUUUUGUGGUGUUAUCUUGCAUCUAGAACACUCCUAUCUUUGUUGGAAUAAUACAUGAAGUAGUUUUAAGGCUCUAGAACACUCCAUAAGGGAGUUUACGGCCUAAGGUCCUUCACCUUAGAGUUUACGGCCGUAAACUCUAGGAAAUUAAUUGAUUUGAGGCACUUAAACAUCAAGAAUGGCAUCCAUGAUUUUAUCUAAGGCUAAUGGGGACAAGAGGCACACUUUGGUGCCUUCACUUGGAGUUUACGGCCCAAGUCAUGUUCCUUGGCCGUAAACUCCUUUCAAGGAGUGAUUUCUAUGUGUUCUACUCUCCAUUCUAGUCCCAAAGGUGCAAGGUAAAUUGUCUAAAGGCUUAAGGGUAGCUUGGAAUGAUUUUUGUCCCACAAAAUGGGGUUUACGGCCCAAGAAGGGUUCUUGGCCGUAAACUCCUAAAAACUUAUGGUUUUUAUGGGCUUUUGGUGUUCUAAACAAGUACAAGCACUAGUGGUUAAGUUCCUUAAGCAUUUGGGGAAAGUUUUAGGGCAUUUAAGCCCUUGAAAAGGGGUUUACGGCCCAAGGGAGUUCCUUGGCCGUAAACUCCUAGAACUUAUGGUUCUUGGUUGCUUUUUGAUCCAUAAAUGUAAUAGCCUAUCUCCUAAACAAGUCUUCUAACAAGGAAUUGGGACUAGGAAGCCAUAAUGUUCCAUUUUGGAGUUUACUCCCCAAGAACGAUCUUGGGCGGUAAACUCCCGGAUCUUGUAAUCUAAACAUGUUAUUGUUGCUAAUAUGCAUUAAACAAGUAUUGAAACACAUAUAGAAAAGUAGACUCACAAUCUGGGAUGAAAACCCGAAGAUCCGUCAGAGAGAAUAUGGCUUUUCUCUAUUUGGAAUUGUGAAUAAUGAAUUAAUUUAAUUCAGAAAACUAUUUAUAGUCCUGGAAUAUUUUGGCAGAAAAUAUUUUCAUUCCUGAUGUUGGACUGUAACAUUAUGAAACUUGAAAUGCCCAAGUUUCACAAAACCAGGAGUAUCCACUCUCCUGAUAUCACCUAAAACAUAAACCCUAAUGUACACAAACUUGUUUGGAAAAACUUGAAAAUCACAGAAACUGAACUAGCUUCUAUUGAAUAGAUGAUGUUCAUACAAUUGGAAAUUUCGGGUUGUCACAUCUUUCGAUCAAGAAUCGUUAUCGGCCUCUCAAUGUAGUUCAAGCGCUCAUCGACCUAGAUAUCAUCUAGUGGUACUAUCACCGUAUCAUAAACCAAGCACUUCCAUAAUUGAGAAACGUGGAAAGUGUUAUGGAUAUGACUGAGCUCCUCCAGUAGAUCCAACCGGUAAGCCACCUUGCCCACCCUGACAAUCUCACAAAAUGGUCGAAUGAAUCGGGGUCCCAAAUUGCCCCGCUUCCUGAAGCAUAUCACACCUUUUGAGGGUGACACUUUCAAUAAAACCAUAUCCCCAACCUGUAACUCUAGCUCAGAAUGUCGUCGGUCUACAUAGUUCUUCUAUCGGCUCUGAGCUAUCUGCAGUCUCUAUCUAACCUGCUGAAUCAUCUUUGAUGUUUGGAUCACUACCUUAGUUUCAAGGUGAUUCCCUUUGUCUGUGCCUCUCUAACCAUCUCCAAGAUCGGGUAGGUAAUCGUUACCCUCAUACACAAUCUUCCACUAGGUGCACUCACCACCCUACGACUCAAUGUGUUGGCCAUCAAGUUGGCCUUAACCAGGUGGUACAAGAUCUCAUAGUCAUAAUCCUUGACCCUGUCAAGCCACGUCUUCUACCUCAUAUUCAGGUUCGACUAGUCCAUAAGGUAUCUCAAACUCUUGUGGUCAAUAUAGAUGGUGCAACGAACCCCGUACGAAUAAUGUCUCCAGAUCUUGAGGGUGAAAACCAUAGCCCCGUACUCCACAUCAUGGGUAGGGUAGUUGGCCUGAUGAGGCUGUAACUAUUAUGACACAUAAGCAAUAGUCUACCUCGCUACAUAAGUAUCUCGCCCAGCCCGAUGAUGGAAGCAUCACAAUACACCACAAUAUCCUCUACGCCGUCUAGAAUAGUCGACAUUGGGGCCUUACAAAGUUUAUGCCAUAAAGUCUCAAAUAUCGCCUGCUGCUCACACUCCUAUACAAAAUCCACACAUGUUUAGUCAGAAGGGCGAGAGGAACAAAAAUCUUAGAGAAAUCCCAGAUGAAUCUCCGAUAAUACCUAGCCAAACACAGAAAAUUCCUGAUCUUUGAAGGAGACUUCGGAACCUCCCACUGCAUCACCACCUCAAUCUUGGCCAGAUUGACCAAUAUCCCAUUAUGGUUGAUGAAGUUGCCCAAGAACUGAAGCUCUCGCAACCAGAAGUCACACUUUGAGAACUUUCCAUAUAGUCUCUCCCUCCUCAGAACCCUUAGGAGCUCCCGCAAAUGCUACUCAUGUUGCUCUUAGGUCUUGGAAUAGACCAAAAUAUCAUCGAUGAACACAAUAACGGACCGAUCAAGCAUCAGAAAACACACCCUGUUAAUUAAAUCCAUGAAUGUUGCUGGUGUGUUGGUGAGCCCAAACAUCACCACAAACUCAUAAUGGUCAUACGAUUGCGGAAAGUUGUCUUCUCUAUAUACUCCUCUUUAACUCUCAUCUGGUGGUACCCUGGCCUCAAAUCAAACUUGGAGAACUAAGAUGCACCCUACAGCUGAUCAAAGAGGUCAUCAAUCCUCAAGAGUAGGUAACGAUUUUUCACUAUCAGCUUGUUCAACUCCCGUUAAUCUAUGCAUAUCUGAUGGGUACCAUCCUUUUUCAUAAACAUAAUCGGCGCUCCCUAAGGCGAACUGCUCGGUCGAAUAAAGUGCUUGCCCAACAGAUCCUAAAGCUAAGAGGACAGCUCCUACAUCUUUGGCGGUGCAAGGCGUUAAGGUGAUUUGGUGAUCGGGGCUGCACCAAGAACCAGAUCAAAACAUCUGACACUAAACGACUCGACUCAAUAUGAGUAUCUACUACAUAUGCCACAUAACCUGAGCACCCAUGCUGGAUAAACCUUCGGUCCCUCACUGUUGAGCAAAAUGUUGAACCAACCCUGGUACCAUCACCAUAAAUGAUUAGCUCUCCCCCACUUGGGGUACAAACCACCACGAGCUAUCUCUCGUAAUCAAUCUGAACCCCAAACUAGCUCAACCAAUCCAUUGCAACAAUAACGAUGACACCCCCAUGGGAAUCAGGACCAGGUCAAUCAGGUAUAACACUCCAAAAAUAUCCAAAGUACAAUCGCAAAAAACACUCACAACAGAGAUUCUGUCCUGGCUGGCAAUAGAAAUCCACAUAGGAUGCUCCAAUGCAUCAAGAGGAAUGCUAAAAAUCCUACUAAAAGUUGAGGAUACAAAUGACCGACUUGCACCCGAGUCAAAAGCACUAAUGCAAGAAAAAAGUUCACAAGAAAAGUACCUAAUAGAAAUAUAAAUUAGAUGCAUAAUGUAAAAUAGUCAGAUAGAAACAUAAAUAGAUACAUAACAACAAUGACGUUUGGCGCUGCUCUGGCCUCCCCAGUUGUCAUCUGAAAAGCAUGUCCUCUAGUUCUCAGGACCUCAGCCCUCCCCUAACGUGUGUCUGUGAUACGAAGAGUUGUCGGGACCGGUGCCAGCGUAGGCCUAGUAGCAAGGAGAGGGCAUUGGGCCUUCACAUGGCCCACCUGAUUGUAAUGGUAACAAAUACAUGCACUUAGUGAGGGGAUUUGUUGUUGCGGAUGUUGACAAUCCCUCAGGAAUGACCCUACUUGCCGCAAUUGUGGCACCCUAUCGCUGAUCGGCAGGCUCCCGCAUGUGUCUUCCCACACCUACCAUAGGUGCGACCCCUCUUCCCUCUAGGGCUUGAAUCAUCGGUCUUGGCGUGCUUCGUCAUCGACUGCAACUGGACUGGGGCAUGACGUUGUUCCAUAUAUCGAGUUUCAAUCUCAAUCUCUCUCUUUCGAGCAACAGACCGUAGCUUGGAAAGAGUCUGGUACUAUUGUGUAGACACAAACUCUCAUAUCUCAGUCUUGGCCAUGCUCAAAUAUCGCGACACCUGAACCUGCUCGGAAGAUGCAUACUUAAGGCAGAAAAGUAUCGUCUUCGUGAACUUCUUGGUGAUCUCUGUCACCGAAUUCGUCGUCUGUCUAAUUGACAAAUACUCCUAGUUCAAACGCUCUCUCUCCACCAAAGGCACAUACUGUGCACAAAUCAUCAUAGUAAACUGACCCCAAGUCACUGCGGCCAUCUCCGUAGGUGAGUAAGUAUAGGUCACAAACUUCCACUAGUGCUUCGCCCCCAAGCAUAGAAGGUUAAGGGCGCACUUGACCUUCUGGUCCUCUAGACAAGAACACGUGAAGAAACAACCCUCCAUGUCUGACAACCAUAUCAUCACUAUAAUUGGGUCCUAGACCCUAUCAAACUCCAAAGGCUUCAUGUUACUAAAGCUCCAAUACUAGAAAGAUCCUCCUACCCGAGUUGUGGCAGUGGCAACCUGCGUCACAACAACAUAGCGCACGUCAAAGAGCUCGACCAUAACGGUCUUCACCAACCCAAACAUCUUUGGGAUAGCACCCCAAACAGUUGCAACUACCUUUACAGAGAUCAACUCAUGGACCUCCUCAUCCAAUACAACCAACCUUACUAGCUCACCAUUUCCUGAUCUACCAGCUCCGGAUCCCGAACCUCUAGUGACCACCAUGUUGAAAAAUAAACAUAAAAUCUUUAGAUCACCAAUAUACUAAUUAUCUACAACUCACAUAUAUCAACCUUGAGUCUUAUGGUUUCCCUGAUACAUGUAUGGAUCUUGUGCUUUUAGUAAUGCAGGCCCUUGGGUCACUAGACCCUCUAUUCUUGGUGCACAUGCAACCUAAACCACAGUCCUAAAGAGUGAACACAACUCAUAGUUCCACUAGGAAUCUACAAAUCCCUCCCAUAUCCCAUGAAACCUCCACUAACAUUGCAGUCACAUCGCAUAUGCCAACCAUGCAUAGUGCCAGAUCCGAUAAACAGUCGAAUAAGUGAUUUAACCCUAAGCCCACAACCAAACAAGGAACACGAAGUAAGGAUAAAUCAAGAAUUAUAAAGCUAUAAGAUCCUGACUAUGUACCAUUAUAUCGCAUUUACUCAGCUAAUAGUUGCACAAAUGUUGUUUCCAAAUAAGCAAUUUAGAUAAAUCUCCUAGGCUAUAAGGUAUCAUGUAUUAGACAAUUCUAUCAUGCAAUUCCUGAGGAUCCUUAGCCUACAUUCUAGGAUUUAGUUCUAUCACGUAUCAUAACAUGUGUGAGUAUUCUUGGAAACUUUCUUGAGCUCUGAAUGAUUCUACACAUCGCAUCCCUCUUGUGUUUAUUUGGAAAUAAUUUUGAAAAUAUUUUUGCAGAUUCUUAGUUUGAGUCUGGAGUCACACGAAUGCUCAUCAAGUAUGCUCAAACCAAGGCCCUGAUACCAACUCAUUAUGUCCAAAAAAUCAGAGUAUUAUUUUUCACUCAUUAUGUCCAAAAAAUCAGAGUAUUAUUUUUCAUUUAAAAAAACUCAAUCCACAAACCCUAAAGUUACCAAAGCAUUGUUUACAAAUCAUAAUAAGGUAAAACGUUGGAUCAAAGUAUCAAUCAACUUAAACUAUGAGAUGAUGUGUACAAUCACACCUUAGUCUUUCCCAACUCACCAGAAGUACCUGAAGCAUUGAAAUCCAAACUGGAAACCAAAGCCUAGUGAGCUUCCAAACAUACCCCAAUAUACAAACAAUUAAAAAUAUUACACAAGCAUGCAUUACACAAGCAUGCAUAUAGGGUUUGUUGGUCCUUAAACUCAACCCAUCCAUACUGGGUUUGUUGGUUUACAACAUACAGAGCAGUAACACCUCAACCCAACCACCCAGGUUUUAUUGGCACGUGGCCUCAACCCAACCAUCCAUGUUUGUUGAAAUGUGGGUUCAACCUCACAAUACUGGGUUUGUUGGCACGUGGGAUCAACCUCACCAUACUGCGUUUGUUGGCAUGCAGCCUCAACCUCAACAUACUGAGUAUGUUGACUUCUAGUCUCAACCCAACCAUAUUGGGUUUGUUGGUGUACAGCCUAAACCCAACCACUCAUAUGUCGACAUAUAUACAACAAAUCACACAUAUAACUAUGAUAGCAAUCCUACAUCCUAGGAUACAUAAACACAAUAAAUGGGCCGACCUUGGUGCCUUGGACCCAUUAGCAUAGUGAGAGAACUCACUAUGCCAAUGGGUCUAAGGCACCAAGGCCGACCCAUUUGUUAUGUUUAUCUAUGCUAGGAUAUAUGAUUACUAUGAUAGUUAUAUGUGUGAUUUAUUGUAUAUAUGUCGACAUAUAGGUGGUUGGGUUGAGGUCGCACGCCAAUGAACCCAGUAUGGUUGGGUUGAGAAUAGAAGUAAACAAACCCAGUAUGGUGAGGUUGAGGUUGCAUGCCAACAAAUACAAGAUGGUUGGGUUGAGGCCACAUGACAACAAACCUGGUAUGGUGAGGUUGAGGCCACAUGCCAACAAACUUGGAUGGUUGGGUUGAGGCCACAUGCCAACAAACCAUAGGUGGUUGGGUUGAGGUGUUACUGCUCUGUGUUGUAAACCAACAAACCUGAUAUGGUUGGGUUGAGGUCAAGGACCAACAAACCCUGUAUGCAUGCUUGCGUUAUAUAUGUAAUUCUUUGUAUACUGGGGUAUUUUGGGAAGCUCACUAAGCUUUGUAUUAUAGUUUGUAUUUCAAUGUUUAAGGUACUUUUAGUGAGCGGGGAAAGGCGAAGGCGUGAUUACACACAUCAUCCUGCAAUUUAUGUUGAUUGAUACUUUGAUCCAAUGUUUUGACUUAUAAUGAUUUGUAAACAAUGUCUUGCUAACUUUUGGGCUUGUGGAUUGUGUUUUUUCUAAAAGAAAAUUUUUACUUUGAUUUUUGGGACAUUACAAUACUUCUUUAUUCAUACAUACCUUGCCUCUUUCAACUCUAAAUAUUUGCAUUACAUUAUGUAGGAAUUUUGAAGUUGUGUCUUGUGGGGGUAUGAAGUUUGAAACAAGGAAAAUGGAUGAGUCGUACACUGUUGAUGUGAUAAAAAAGGAAUGCAGUUGUAGGUUAUGGAAACUAAGUGGUCAUGGUUGCGUUCAUUCAGUAGCUACAUUAGCAUAUUUAAACUUUAUACCUGAUAGACCAUAUAUAAACCCAUUGUAUCUGGGAGCCUUCUUCCAUAAUACCUACAAAUGGCCUAUUAAUUAUAUGAAUGGAAUGAACAUGUGGCCUUUUACAGACUAUAUACCUCAAUUUCCUGCAUUGAAAAGAAGAUUGCUAGGCAGGCCAACCAUGAAAAGAAUAAGGGAAGCUUCUGAAAGAUCUAUAAAACACAUGGUUUCAAAGGUAGGGAAAAAGGUUUCUUGUGGCAUAUCUAAAUAGAAAGGACACAACAAGACCACUUGCACUCAAGUGCGAAGGCCUCCUAGAACUAAUGUCACAAAGAAACAAAAGGUUAUGCAAACACAAGAGUCAGUGAAUAUGCAAGGUAGGUGGGGAAGAUGAUGUUAUGGGUGAUGCAGUUGAGCACAAGUUGAAGAAGCUGUGAGGGUAAAUGAAUCUGAGGAAUUGGCAAGGGUUAAUAAAGCUGAGGCAGUGGUGAGGGUUAAUGAAGGUGAGGAACUGGGCAGGGUUAAUAAAGUUGUUAGGCAUGUGUAUAGUAGAGGUCAACCAAGGAAGAGAAAAAGUUUGAGAGAAUUCUAAAACUAAAGCUUGCUAAAAGGGUUGAAGGUGAAGGUAGUUGUGUUGGAUUGCGAAUGAAGUUGGAUUAAUUAUCGUUUAAUUGUGUGUAUGUUAUGUGGAUUAAGUAAUGUUAUUAAUGUGGUCGGGAACAGGGGAAUUUAUGUUUGUUAUGUUAAUCUAUGUUAUACUAAUCUUAAGAUUUGAUAUUUGGAUUCGUGUAGGUAAUUACAUUAUGUAUGAUGUUCUUUAUAUUGGAGUGUAUGGGGUACUUUAGUCAUUACAAAUAUUUAAAUGGGUAGCGGUAGUUUGGUCAUUUUAGAUACUUAGCCCAAUAAUGUUAGUUUAAGGGUAGUUUAGUCAUUUGAAGCAGUUAAUCCAAUAUGUGUACGUUAUUUCAAGUAAUUAAUCAAGCAUGAGUAUUUUAGUCAAUCAAAUAAGUUAAGCCAUUAGGGUUAUUAUUGUCAUUUCAAUUACUUAAACAAAUAAGGUAUUUUCGUCCAUUUAAAGCGGGUAACUCAUUAGGGGUAUUUUAGUCAUUUGUGUCAGGUAACCCUGAAGCCGUGUUAUGGGCAUUUCAGUCAGUAAUUUUUAUGUAACUUAACCCAUUAGGGGAAUUUCAGGUUUUCCAGGCAAUUAUCCAAGUGGUCAAGCAUAAAAAGAACAAAAAAGAACUUUUUCAUGGGUUUCCAUUUAUGGGUUAAAAACAACGACUUUGCAGUGGUCUUAAGAAGAUUUCGCAUGUAUUAGAUUCUUUUAUUUUGUCCUAUGUUCCCAACAGAAACAUUGGGGCCCUUAUUUUAUUUGUUUAAAAGAUUUUGACUUUUUCAUGUGGUAUUAGGAAGAACAUUAACAAAUUUAGGUAUUCCUUAAUCACAUAUAUGAUUGAUGGUUUGUCUAUAUACAGAUUACAUGCACAUUCAGAACUAUAACAACAAUAUUUUAACUUAACCAACAUUUAAUUCAUAGGUUUGAGUUACAUAUUUACAUCUAUUAGACAAGUUUAAAUAGGAUUUGUACCUGCAUAUUACUACACAAGACUACCACCACAUGUGAUUACCAUCAAAAUACUGAUCAUCACAACAACAUGAUCACAAAAACANUGAUUACCAUCAAAAUACUGAUCAUCACAACAACAUGAUCACAAAAAUCCCAACCACGACUACCAACUAUUACCACCAUAAACCAAAACACAAGAAACAAAAUGCCUUACUAAUAUGGAAAAUAAACCAGAUGCGCAUUAUAACAAAAUACAAAACUCACGACAGAAAUGUUGUAACCUAAUGUUCUUGUGUCAUUUUAAGAACUUAUAGGUUAACACCCCCACAACAGCGACAACAAAACCCCCAACAACCCACUUAACUUUGUUGCACUUGUUUUUACCCAUGAUGUUGAAACAUAAAAGUGACCCUCUUGAACUCAGCUACCGCAACCAUCUCUCUACCGCAACGGUUCAGCACCCGCAAUCAAUUCAGCACCCGGAGACAGCUCUUCAUCAGCAACUGCAAUCAAUCCGCAGUCUACUUAAUUACUUUACUUAUCUUUAUGUAAUACACUCUAUUAUCCAGCAUGCCUUGCACGGCUGCUUAUAGAGCUGUAGUUUAGUUCAGAGACUCUAUAAAUAGAGACUCAUUCUGUUGUAUUAAAUACUUUUUACUCUUGCAAUUCUCACUAUUACAUCUAAUCUUAUCACUUGAUCACUAAUGACUUGUGAAUUAUUCUGAAUAUAUUUCUUCAAGUUAUCUUCUUCAUUUCUCUAUCUUUCUACUCUUCUUACUCUAAAUCGUUACUGAAACAUAUAUGACUAUAAUCUCUCUUCGGAGCAAGUCUUUAAGACUUAAUCACUAUGUUUGAUCUUCCUUAUUAACUUGGAGUGAAUGCUUUCCUUGUUACGAAUCAGCUUAAGUGUAUUCUUGAUAUAAAAGUUGCUGUCAUUUAUAUUUCUUUACUUUUCGCAACUAACUAUCUAACUAUCUAACUAUAUUAUUGUUGAGCUUUUAGAUCCUUUGAGAUAAACUAUUCCGCAAUAUACUUGUUCAAACGUUUGUUCAAGUGUGUCUCCAAGUUUUUCUCUCAACAAUUGGUAUCAGAGCCAAAGUGGUUGCUUUUUGAAUAUCGAAACUCUGAUUUUUCAUAAGGCCUUCUAUACCACUAAAGCUCAUUUCUUAAAAAAAAUAUUAAAAAAAAAAACAAAAAAAAAAUCUCAAAUGGCACAAUCGUUAUCUCUGAAUGUCUCCAACAGUGUUGGUGGUUCUAAUCGAGCUCCAAUACUGGUAGCAAAUGAAUAUCAUCACUGGUCACAAAGAAUGGAGAGGUACUUAAGAAGACUGGGAAGAGAUGUAUGGCGAUCAGUAGAAGAAGGACCACAUGUUCCAGUUCUUACACUAGUCCAAACUGACGGCGCUGCAACCAGGCUAGGUGGAGGUCAACCAGCCAUGAGCCGUCCCACCAAGGAUAAUCUCGAUAAAAUGGAAAAUGAUGCUGUUGCUUUCUAUGAAAUCUCCUGCAGAGUUUCUCCUGACAACUUUGAUAUUAUCAUAAACUGCAAGCCAGCAAAAGAGAUCUGGGAUGUACUCAAGAAUUUGUACGAAGACUCAGAACAAGCACAAGACAAGAAGCUCACUACCGCACUCAAUGACUUCAACAACUUCAAAGCUCAUACUGGUGAAAGUUUGGAAGACUCCUUCAAGAGGUUCAACCUGAUAGUCACUAAGUUAUCCAAUGCGGGUACCAUCCGCAAUAACCAUGAAACCAAUCUCCAGUUUCUUAAUGGUUUAGGAAGACAUUGGACUACAGCUAAGAUGAUAGUCCAAGGCGACAGGAAGAUUCACUCUUUGUCACUCUACAAGCUCUAUGGAGAGCUUCAAGCACAAGAAUCCACUGUACUCAAAGACUGUGCUGACUUCGGAGGACCGCUUGCUCUGAUAGCACAAGUCCCACCGCAGUCACCCUACUCUUCAUCGUAAGACACUCCACCGCAAUCAUACGAAGUGGAUUCUGAGUAUGAUGAUGAAGAAGAGUUUCAAAAGACUAUUGCUCUGGUUAGCCAACAGUUCAACCAUAUACCACCUCCUUC
rnacentral:lncRNA from 1 species